UUCGGAGUAAGAACUAACAAGGAUUCCCCUAGUAACUGCGAGUGAAGCGGGAAAAGCUCAAAUUUAAAAUCUGGCGGUCUUUGGCCGUCCGAGUUGUAGUCUGGAGAAGUGCUUUCCGCGCUGGACCGUGUAUAAGUCUCUUGGAACAGAGCGUCAUAGAGGGUGAGAAUCCCGUCUUUGACACGGACUACCAGUGCUUUGUGAUGCGCUCUCAAAGAGUCGAGUUGUUUGGGAAUGCAGCUCAAAAUGGGUGGUGAAUUCCAUCUAAAGCUAAAUAUUGGCGAGAGACCGAUAGCGAACAAGUACCGUGAGGGAAAGAUGAAAAGCACUUUGGAAAGAGAGUUAAACAGUACGUGAAAUUGCUGAAAGGGAAACGCUUGAAGUCAGUCGCGUUGUCUGGGACUCAGCCUUGCUUUUGCUUGGUGCACUUUCCGGAUGACGGGCCAGCAUCGAUUUUGACCGUCGGAAAAGGGCUAGGGUAAUGUGGCACCUCCGGGUGUGUUAUAGACUUUAGUCGCAUACGGCGGUCGGGAUCGAGGAACGCAGCGCGCCGUAAGGCAGGGGUUCGCCCACUUUCGCGCUUAGGAUGCUGGCGUAAUGGCUUUAAACGACCCGUCUUGAAACACGGACCAAGGAGUCUAACAUACCUGCGAGUGUUUGGGUGGAAAACCCGAGCGCGUAAUGAAAGUGAAAGUUGAGACCUCUGUCGUGGAGGGCAUCGACGCCCGGACCUGACGUUCUCUGACGGAUCCGCGGUAGAGCAUGUAUGUUGGGACCCGAAAGAUGGUGAACUAUGCCUGAAUAGGGUGAAGCCAGAGGAAACUCUGGUGGAGGCUCGUAGCGAUUCUGACGUGCAAAUCGAUCGUCAAAUUUGGGUAUAGGGGCGAAAGACUAAUCGAACCAUCAAGGUCC
rnacentral:rRNA from 1 species